rnacentral:tRNA from 1 species
GCACAUAAAGCUAAUAAUACAUAGCGCUGGUCUUGUAAACCAGAAAUAGAGCCCGAUUCUAUGUGCA